ACCACGUGAUCAUCCUCGUGGACAGCGCGAUAGUGUAGGCGGAGAGCUGUCGGAUGAGGCUGUCACUGGCUCGGCCAGCAUUUAUUGCUGCGUUUACCCAGAGGGCAGUUAAGAGUCAACUGCGUUGCUAUAGGUCUGGAGUCCCAUGCAGACCAGACCAGAUCCCAGUGAUCAGUGCCAAAGCCCCAUUGCCUGGGGAGAGGGUGAU